rnacentral:lncRNA from 1 species
GUGAAUGCAUAAUGAUAAACAUAAGCGACUAGCAGCACUGGGUCGUCUCAUGAACAAAUCGCCCUCUGUAAGGUAGGACUUUUGCUUUGCUUGGCACUAGGAAAUUUAAAUUACUCUUGUAAAGCAACUUUUGAUGAUCCUACAAAGCGUUCAAUUUUUCUGCUUGUUUUGCAACAAAAUUCUUUGUAUAGCAUUCUCACUCCACCAAAUGGUGCUCGGCAGGCAGAAAUCAAUUCUGGCUAAAGUGACCUGAUGAUUCUUUUGUUUCAUGACGUAGAAAAUAUAUUCUUUUCAAAUCUGGGGGAUCGAACCUGCACUCAGAAAAUUUCUAGUAGGACCUGUCAGUGUCCCAAUUUUGCAACCUGUUUUUUAAGUUUCAACACUAAUUAUAAAACGAAACUACUAAAAUAGAGUGAUUUCUGCCUAUUUGACACCAUCUUUCUAAAAGGUUUAAGAAGCUGGAUUUAAAAUAAAAAGGAGAGGUUCUAAAAUAUUUGCUAUCUUACAAAUGAUACUCCUGUUAUAAUGCGUUCUUCUUUACUGCUUUUUCUUAUUCUUCGUGUUAAAUUUCUAGUUUAUGUUUUAGUUUAUGUUUAAAAGAAUGCUAAAACAACUUGCUAAAUGCAAAUACAAAGUUAAGGAAAAGGGGAAAAUCAACUUUAUCUACAUAAUGCCAAAAGAGAUGUGUCAAUGUUUCCACUGAAAUUAAA